CUUCCUUCACUUUACACGUGGACUACACUCAGUCGUGGUAUGUUUCACAACUUAAUGAACACCCCUACAUCUUCCAAGAAGCAGCCUUAUGCACCCAACAGUGGGGCCCGCUCUUCGCAGACCACAUAAUCGGCAAAGGAGGCCUCUUUAGUAGAGGCUAACCCUAGAAACAAACAUUAGGGCUCCACAUCUGAAUUCGGGCUUCUGGUCUCACCUCAAGAAUCACCCACGGGCUAACACCCACAAGCGUGUUACGGAAACCAGGGCUCAGGACUGACACCCGCUGACAUCAGUGAGAACAAGCGGGGACGUCCGCCCUCAAAGCUGUGAAUAAGCACCCUACCAACUCUCCCUUCCUGAGGCACUGCCCUAUCUCAGGGCAUUUUCACAGGACUGUCAGAGUAGAUUAUAGACACAGAGUACCUGGAUGUCAGCAAAGCAUCUGACAGUCAGUCAUUCAAAGCAUAGCUGAGUGAGAAGGGAAACUCUGGGCCAAGUGACAGUUCAGUUUGAGGGCCUCAGAGGUAACUGAGCAACCACACCCAGGGGUGCUAACAUCACAGAAGAGCAACACUGGCUUGGAGGGAGGUCCUUGCACAGUGGGGCUUUGUAGGUUUAUCCCUGGUAACGUUUUCAUCGAGAUGUGCUUAAGGGGAUCACAAAUAAUUCACGGCUGAGGGGACAAUUAAUGAGAGGAAUGAACGGAGAUUUGAAAACAUUUCAACAGGCUGGAAUACUGCCAAAACUGACCAAAACAACAACCAAAAAAGAACGCAAAGAAUUAACAGAGAUAAAGCCCUACUUUUAAUGUGUCCGGCUCCCCCCUUGCAGAUGAUGAAUGCUACUAAGAUGAGGACAAGAAAAUGAACCCCAGCCUAGGGACAGGCCACAGAGUGUCCUGCAGGCCUCCCUCGGACUGCCAUCCCUACAAGAGAACAUCCACUGUGGAGUGGAAACAGAAGGGUGCUCCAGGUCUGAGUGCCACUUGUGGAUCCUGUCACUUCUCGAUAUUCCAGCAUGGUGCCUAACACCCAGCGGGCAUCAAAAAAAUGGCUUACAAAACAGAUGGAGUUAAUUAACAAAGACAAUACAUAUAUGCAUCAUCCUGCAGCCAUAAACCAGAAGGAUGUCACAGCUUUAACUUCAAAGCCUCCCAGCAAGCACAGCCUGAGAUAUUUUUAGGCAUCAGCUCCAUUGUUUCAAAGAGGAUAUGGUUUGGUGAAAUAAAAUUGCCAAAAAGUAAAAUUCACAGGACAACCUU